GGGCGAUUAGCUCAGUUGGUUAGAGCGCUGCCUUGACAUGGCAGAGGUCACUGGUUCGAAUCCAGUAUCGCCCACCA
rnacentral:tRNA from 1 species